GUGGUGGGGAGGAAAAAACAACAAGCACCGCUCCAGUCAGCAAACAUCCAUGAGCGGUGGUGAUGCGAACACGGAUACGAGGCUCCAGCAGCACCGCAGUCCGCAGGAAACACGGAGGUAACGGGGAGUUGUCAAGAUACCACCGGGCACAACGGAAAACGCGUUCACUGGCGGGAAUUUACCGCUGAGGCGUCGAAUGGAUGAUGAGGAGGAGGACAUGUCACGGCCCAUCUCGCAGCCCCGGGGAACGUCCUUUGGGGACGUCAAAUUCGAAGACCGCGCCACACAGAUCGCAGCUGGACAGGCCCUCGCUGCCGUCACUGCCGCUGUGUCCACGUCGCAGAGCCACAACAACAACAGCAUCAACGCGCUGCCCUGCGGCUUACAUCGGCAGCCUCACAUACCCUUUCACGUUUAUGAGGCAUCAGAGACAAAACCUGCCUGUCUGGAUGCGCCUUACGAUGGCCCUGUUUGGCUUUUUUUUUCCAAGAGAGGCCCUCGUCCCCCGUCUGAGAGGAGCGCAGAGAUGAAGGGACUUCCUGCCGGCCCUUUGCCUCGGAAUCGGACUUUAAGAGAUGGCACUGUAAGAUGGAACACGGGUUUGGAUUUUGUUUUCUAUUAUCUAUGAAGAUGAGAUGAAGAAGACACUGGUCACCGCUGGACGGAGACAGAUUACAAAUUUUUUCUUUUGUUUGUUUUGUUUUAACUUUUUUGUUGUUUUUUUUCUGCCUCUCAAAGAAGAAGCCAUUGUGUUUGAAGAGAUAUUUUCGAAAUAUUUGUAAGAUUACCUAUUUUGUACAGUAAACUGGUCUUUUUAUUUGGUAUUUCAAGUCUUGAAGGACCUCCAUCAGUCCGGGGAAUGCCUUAUUCUCUCCUGCCACAGUACAUACUCUUUUUGCAUCAAGAAAAAUCGUUAGGAAAGAGAUCGGUUUUAAGAUUGGGCCCUUCUUUGGGUGACAGACUGUGGACAUUUUUGUGCAGAAGUUACUGAGUUAAAACCUUGAGGACUCGAGGCACACUUCUAAUUUAUUCUCUGAAAUACAAUAAGCCCUGUACUUAUCCUUUAAUGCUCCACACUGGCUAAUUCAAACAUGGUUGUCGUGACAUUGUGGCGGUGUAAGAACACACCGUCGGUCGGUCUAGAUUCGUGUUUUUUUCAGCUUCCACUGUAGACACGAGGACGUUACAUCUUUUACAGCGUCACCCAUCAGCAUCUCCGUCUCCAGAACCACUCAUGUUGUUAGAGGUGACCUUCCGACCCGCUGCGUACAUUCAGACGCCGUUGAUUUAAAGCAUGUAUACUUGAAUUUAGGUGUGCUGAAGAUACUCAGACCCGACGUCGUGAUUUCAGUUCGUGGGCCACGUGUUCGUCUGUUUGCAAAUCUCUGCAUUCACUUUGAAACCAAAUGAGCACAAAGUUGAACAAAUCUCACCUCGUGGGAUUUACAAUCAGGGAACUGGAAACAAUCAGACAGCUGAGAAGCUUUGGAGAAACGUCAUCACUUUCCAAAGAGUUCCAGGAUUUAUUCCUCUGGCUGAGUUGACAAUCGCAGUUGUAUUUGUUUGUUUGUUUGUUUUUGCCCCCUGCUGCAUUGUGGGUCGCCUGUGAAUGAGAUGACGUCGGCAUUUUAAGGGGUGAGCAAUAUUCAAGCCAGUGGAAGGAGACAUUUCCCAGAAUAUUACCAACGUAGUACACCACAAUUUACACAUUUUUUCUUUGUUACAGAAACGUUUUGGGGUCACAGAGAUGCAUUUUUAUUUUAUUUCACUCCAGGUGUAAAUGUCUGAAGCACUGAUUUGGACCCUGAUGUGCUCAAACGCGUGAGACGUCUCAAACCGCCGGUGGUACAUUCUGCUCCACUUUAGUCAGGACAGCUUCUGUACAGUUUAAAACCCGUUUUUUAUUCACACACCGACACGUCUGGUCACACGUGAAGUGUGACGACAUAGCCACUGUUCCUAAAUGUAAAGUCUUUAAGGACUUCAUAUGAUGUUAAAAAAUUCCUCAUUUGAUGUAUUAUUUCAGUCUGUUGUAGAUUCAUGAUAUGAACUUUGGAAGACACUGAUGGUUUUUUUUUCUGCUUUUAUGUUUUCUUCAGGGAGUAGUUAAUAACCGCAGUAAUUAUCCGACAUUUACUCAUGAGCAGGAUUUGAUAAAAACAUCUGCUUUAGUCUCUCAUUCAUGCGGUAGACGACGCAGACGUUUCAUUCGACUUUUUACAUUUUCCAAAGCAUUUUCACUCGACGUUGCCAUGGUAGUGUGUUACAGAUUGUCAGGGUUUUUUUUGCUUUUUUUUUUUUAAACUACAGGAGUAGCCAAACCAAAAGUUUGUUUCCUGCAAACACUGAACGCUGAGCCAAUUCAGAUAGUUGUGACACACUCUCUCAUCUCCGCUCCAAAAGCUUCUUCGUCACGUUUUAACUACUCCCUGUUUCUUAACAAGAAGGAGUUUUUGGUUUUCUUUGAGAUAAUUUAUUCUAAUUUAUUUUGUGUAUAUUUGCCCAGUGCUACUGUAUAGAUGCUAUCUCAGUGUGUACAGUCCUUUUCUUCUCAUUGUCGAGGUGCAUUGGGUUGCGUGUUUGAUGCCUGUGUGUGGGGAGGUUGGACUAAAGCCAUGUGCCUCGUGCGUUCUCACACGAAUGCUGUGAGUCUUUUACAAAUCACGUGGAGAAAAAACAAAACAGACAAUCAAAUGUACAAAACGUGCCUUGUGAGUAACAGACCUGCCACAUCAUCAUCAUAAACACUUGGCAUAAUUACCCCAAAGUCACUGGUCACUGCUCUCGUUUCACUCGGGCUCUGUGAGAUCAAUACACACACACACACAAAAAAAAGAAUCUUUUUGAUUUCUCACAUCAGCUCACGAGGCACAGGCUCAACCUUUGACAUCUCUCAGCACGAACGGCGAGUUUCACCAUGCAAAACCUUCUCUUCAAUAUCAGAAACGACUGUUUGCAACGUGCACUGUAAAAAACAAACUAUUUUUUAUCUGUAUACUGUAUUUUGCGCCUCUCUCUUUCUACUCCUGUGCUGAACUUCCCCUCUAGAUUCUUGAAACCUUUUUAAGAUCUGUAAUAUGCUGGAUCGGCCCGGCUCGUCUGGGUUUUUGUGCUUUAUUAUCUACAAUCUAGCAGGGCUGCGGGUUUACGUUUGAAGGAGGAAUGAGCCACCACGGUGCCCAGUAUUAUUUGAGAUGGGUUGAACAGCCACUCAGCCGGUGUGGUGUUGAUCUGAGCCUGCCGUUACCAACCACUGUUGCAACCUUGACUCAAGUGAAAACAUUUGUUCUACGUUCAACCUUCAGUGUCUUUGCUAUCAAAUUUUUUCAAUCGGUUUUUGAAUAUCCAAGAAAAGAGUGCAUCUUUACUGUCAAGUGCUGUGAUUUGGUGUUUUUUAUACAUUAGACAUGAAUUUGACACAGCUGUCGUUGCUAUCUUUAUAAGAAAACCUUUUAGCAAAAUUUUUUCCAUACCUUUUUGUAAGAAGACGAUGACGAACGAACUACAACAACAUGACUUUUUUGCUUUUUCUAUGAUUGCGUUUUCUUUUUCAAUGUUGUGGCAUUGUUUUUUUUAAAUUUUGGAUAUUGCCAAGUCUGCUGUGUCACUCUCAGUUCAAGGGCUUUUUUCAAUAUAUGUAAAUGGAGUAAAAAUGCAUGUCCAACAUUCCUGAAAAAAAUCUGUAUCCUAAGGAUUUGAAUGUAAUUUAAUGGAGUGAAAAACCACAAUAUCUCUUUUAAUACGUGAAAUGAAACAGUGGAACUUAUUUCAGACGUUGCUUUCUUUGCGUUCAGAGUGGUCUCAAGGAUUUCACAUUCAUGUGUCCUAUGAAGUGAGACCCAGUCCAGAUGUAGCAGUUUUUUGAUAAAGCAUUGACUGUGUUAUCUUUGGGACUGCUCUGUUUCUCCUGCACAGUCUUCAGACGGUGCAGGACGUUGGAGCGAUGGAGGGGUUUGGACGAGGACCGGGAGGGAUGUUUGUUCUUUUUCUAGUGCAAUAUGCUGUACAUAAGAGCUUGGCUCACAAAAAUCUUACAAUUUCUCUUAAUUUUUUUUGUUGUUAAAUGGGUACAUUGCUGUUUUUUUUUUUUUUUGUUUUUUUUCAUUAAAACUUUAUGGACAAUUCAUACGGGUUGUGCUUUGUUU
ensembl:lncRNA